rnacentral:rRNA from 1 species
AUACGGAGGGUGCAAGCGUUAAUCGGAAUUACUGGGCGUAAAGGGUACGUAGGCGGUUAAAUAAGUUGGAUGUGAAAGCCCCGGGCUCAACCUGGGAACUGCAUUCAAAACUGUUUGACUAGAGUGUAUGAGAGGUUGGCGGAAUUCCAGGUGUAGCAGUGAAAUGCGUAGAUAUCUGGAGGAACAUCAGUGGCGAAGGCGGCCAACUGGCAUAACACUGACGCUGAGGUACGAAAGCGUGGGGAGCGAACGGGAUUAGAAACCCUGUAGUCC